rnacentral:tRNA from 1 species
GCCGAUGUGGCGGAAUUGGUAGACGCAGCGGAUUCAAAAUCCGCCGGGAGCAAUCCCUUGUCGGUUCAAGUCCGACCAUCGGUACCA